GGCUGUGGCUCAGUGGCAGAGCACUUGCCUAGCAUGCGUGAGGUGCUGGGUUUGAUUCUCAGCAUGAUA
rnacentral:tRNA from 1 species